AUUUUUUUUUUUUUUUUGUGAGGAGGAUCGGCCCUGAGCUAACAUCUGCCAUUCCUCCUCUUUUUGCUGAGGAAGACUGGCCCUGGGCUAACAUCCAUGCCCAUCUUCCUCCACUUUAUAUGGGAUGCCGCCACAGCAUGGCUGCCAAGCAGUGCAUCGGUGUGCGCCCGGGAUCCGAACCGGCGAACCCUGGGCCGCAGCAGUAGAGCAUGUGCGCUUAACUGCUUGCGCCACUGGGCCAGCCCACAUUGCUCGUAAUUUCUGAUUGGAUACUAAGUAUUGCAAAUGUCACAUUGUUGAAUGCCUGGAAUUUAUUAUUCUCCUUUAAAGAGUGUUGAUAUUGGUUUUGGCAUUUCUUGUAAAUCAAUUUGAUCUUUUCAUGGCUUGUUUUAUGGUUUUGUUGGGGAAGAUCUAGUAUGGCCUUGACCCUAGUUUGGCCCUAGUACAAAGGUGUGAACCCUCUGGGGCUCUACAGAAUGCCUUUGGUAUUCAGUAAGGAUUUAUCCCUCUGACUCAUGGGAAUUCAAACAUCUCAUAGUCCCAUAUGAAGUCUGGGAAUUGUUUGGUUUAGAUUUUCAUGAUAGUUGUUCUUUGCCCAAUCUCAUGGCAUACACAGAUCCCUACUCAUCAAAGACACAGGAGGACCCCACGCAAGUUUCUUGAGUUCUUUUUUUUUGUGUAACUCCCUCAUCUAUGGUUCUCCACUCUGCAAAUUCCAGUUGCCUAACUCUUUCUGAAAUUCAGUCUUUAUCUCCUCGACUCAAUGUGAUCACCUUGAUCUGCUUGGGUUUUCCUCCCUGCACUGCAGUCUGGAACAUUCCUCCAGCUGGGGCAUAGGGCUCGCCUCACUUGUCUCCCUUCAAUCUGGAACCAUAAUCUUACACUGACUGUUUACCCAUGCCUGAAAUGUAUUUUUCCACUGUCCUCAUCGUUUAUCACAGAACAGUGAGUACAGUGCCCUAAACUCUGUCAUGACCUAAGAAAGAAAUCUCACUUAAGGAUUUUCCUCAAGAGAAUGAUAUGACGUCAUUUGUUACAAUUCUUCUCCCUCAUUGGCGGCAGGAACAGAUAUUGACACAGUUAACACAAGUAAAACUAGAUUAAAUGCAAAAUAGAUACACAAACAAUACAUUUUGGUAGCUGUUAAACCAUCCAUGUACUAUCUUGUUCCUUACUUGCCUAUGUGUGACAGGCUUAUCAAUCUUGCCAGGUUGUAGGGUUCUCAGUCCUUCUCCCCUUCAGUGCUACUUACAUCCCAAGGAACUCAAUAGAGACACACAAGUAGAUAGAUUGUGCUCAGCUCAAGGAGUUAGCUGUACAGUCCAGUGCUGUGAAAGGAGUCUGGCUUCUCCUUGACACUGAGUGGAUUAUCACUACCUUGGAACAGCAGUAGCAGCAUCGGAAGCAGUAUGAUGGAGACUACAAGAGAAGCCUUCCAAGGUCCUGAAGAGAAAGCCUCCACAUGUGAGGCACCAUGUGUUAAAUGAAGAAGAUCAAAGUGGAAACAGGAUUGAAGGGGAUAGAGAUAGAAAACAGAGAGAGAAGUGCGUAGGUUCUCUCUUCUCAGUCUUGGCCCACUUCGUAUUUGUUCAAGGACAGAGUUCACAAGAGAUAUGUCAUGUGCUCAUUCCCUCCUCCAGCGAUGUUUCUGAAGCACCCACAGCGCGCUCUACCCUGAGUGUGGCACCGCCGUCUGUCCCGAAUCUUGCUGAGGAGAUUUCAAGCCUGAGUCUGCGACUUUGCCAGAGGCAGAGACAGAAGAUCCAAGAACCUAGAGAUGAAGCGUGGCAAGAUGGGAACAGCCUGGAUCACUUUGUCACUAUUGGAGUAGAAUGACCAAGGAAAUGACAACAGAUUCUGAUGCUAGGAUUUGAUUGAUGCACUCAUCCUGUGACCACCCAGCUCGAGAUGACAGACCUGACACCAGCCACGCCCAUCGAGACAGCAGACCUGCUCCCCGCUGUGUCCAUCAAGAGCUAUUCUGACAGGGCAAUCUGGCAGGGCGAUCUUGUGGCUAUUGUAAAAUGGACAUUGCAAUCAUAUGUGAUACAUGCUCUUUGAGGGUAUAUAACCGCUCUGUACACCACACUUCUUUGGUGCCCUGCCUUCCUCGGGGAAGGAAGGCCCUGGGCUAUGGUCCACAAAAGUUGGCUCAUAAUAAACUCACCCCAAUUUUGAUUUAUA